AACCAAAUCUUCGUCCACAUUAUGCUUGUGGGAUUAUAACAAGUUCUUCUCUAGAUUGCACUAGAGACUCACAUACAUCAAGAUUUCACCAUUUUAGACAGCAACAACAAGAUUUAAGGCUACAAGUUAGGGUGGGUGUGGAAGGAUCUCACCAAAGAGUGGUGGAACAACGGAUUGGAGGUAUCAAGGAUGAGGAUCUAUGGUUUCUAAACCUUGAGGACGAAUCCCUCUUGUUUUCUUGCAAAUUCUCCUCGCUCUCCAAUCUCCCAUUCUUCUCCCACUCUUCUCUUCUCCUUACGGAGGUUCUGUUCUGAAAUUUUCGUGGGUCUCCUCUCUAGUUCCAGAAGCUUCUACCUUCUCUUGUAAGGCAGCAUAAAUACUAAAACCACCUAAGGUUAAUCCACACCCUGACUAUAUAUCCCAUACAUAUGAGGUCGCUUACUAGGAACAGUUACUCUACUCACUUGUCCAUAGCAUGAGAAGGAUUACCCAACGUAUAUAUGUCUGUUCAACUUGGUAGGAACUUC
rnacentral:lncRNA from 1 species